rnacentral:lncRNA from 1 species
UACGACGCCUUCGACUUCCUCGAGGACGCCCGCGGCGGCGGUGGGGGAGGGGGAGGGGGGCGCGCUCUCGUCCACUGCGUCCGCGGCGCGUCGCGCUCCGCGGCCAUCGUCGUCGCCUACCUCAUGUGGCGCCACGCGAUCCCCUUCGACGCCGCGCUCCGCCGCGUCAAGGCCGCGCGCGCCGCCGCCGACCCCAACCUCGGCUUCGCCGCGCAGCUGCUGCGGCGCCAGCCCCGCCCCGGCGCCGCCAACUCCCCCGGCUCCGCGCGCCGCGUCCUCCGCCUCGCGCCGCACUCGCCCUGCGCCCCGCUCCACCUCGUCCCCAAAACCGCGCUCCCCUCCUCCUCCUCCUCCGGCGCCUCCGCCGCGGAGCUCCUCGACUCCCGCGGCGCGUUCCUCGUCCACGUCCCCGCCGCGGUCUACGUGUGGCUCGGCGCCGCGUGCGAGCCCGCCAUGGCCGCGGCCGCCGCUAGGGCUGCGGCCCAGGUGGUGCGCUACGAGCGGGUGGCGGGCCCCGUCGUCACCGUCCGGGAGGGCGCCGAGCCCCCCGAUUUCUGGAGCGCCAUCGCCGCCGAGCCCUCGGUUCCCGACCCCUCCAAGGCCGGGAAGCGGAGGGUGGAGCUCUACGACCUCGACUUCGAGAUCUUCCAUCACGCGCUCAAGUCCCCGAAUGAGGAAGCGGCGGAGAGCACCACCCCGUCCUCGUCGUCGGCCGACUCGGCUUCCACCUUCUCUCCGGCCUCGUCCUCUUCUUCCGAUUGGUAUAAUUCUCCUUCCACACCUGGCCACUCCACAAUCCAGCUGGGUCCCAAGUUGCCCUCUUUCCGUACAAGAACGGAGAAUGAGAAAGCUUCGACCUUUCCAUCUGAUGCUGCAGAUACUAAAACAAGGGCUCAAUCCCUCGCCGAACGCAGAGGAGGCAUUACCCCUUCGUUGGUUUUGUUAGCGCCACCAGAUGCGGAGAAGGAACAGCCGUCGCCGCAAGAAUUCCAACACGAUUGGUGCUUAUCUCCUGCAUUCAUCCCGGACGUGGAAGUAGAUGAAGAGGAAGAAGGUGACUCUAUGUGUAUCGAUCAUCAGCUUUCGUUAAACCCUUCGAACCAGUUGAAUUUGGAUGCGAUCGAAGAAGACAUAGAAGAAGAAGAAGGGAGUAGUCAAUUGAUUCAUCCGAUCCUUUUCCGGUGGCCCGAAAUGGACAAAAUGGAGGAAAUCCAUCCGGGGGUGCUCGAUUCAAGAUCAGUAUUCUUAAUGGUGGCUCCGAAUUCCAGGAAAGGUGUGCGAAAGCCGACGUCGAAGAUUUUGUACAUAUGGUUAGGAAGUGGAAGUGAAUUGAGCGAAGGGGAUGUAGAAAAAGUUAGAGAUGUGUGUUCGAGCAAGACCGGCAUCGAUGUUCUCGAUCUGAUUGGGAUCCCCCCUGAUACUCCCGUGGAGGUACGCAAUAAGUUGUUCGUGUUGAUGAAUGGCAUACCUGAAUCAAUCUUUUAUUUGAAAUCUUUUACAUAUCAAUUAUUGUGUCUGCGAAUUAUUUUUUGCUAAUAAUAGAUGUCCUUAUAUCUGCAACUUCGCUUAAUCAUAUAGAAAUUGGUCAUCCAUCUUAAAACUAUUAAUUUAAUAAUUUAAUGUGAGCAAAAGUUUCUGUUUUGGAAAAGAAGUGUUGUUGAUUUUGUAACUUCUGCGGAAUUUAGCCUAGAUCUCAUGGUCAUAAUUGCUGCUAUUACGAUGUUGGACUUGACUUCAAACCUCUGAUUAUGUGAGAAAUGCAUUAUAUUAAAUGCUCAUCAAAUAAGAUUAUAGCAGCCGGUCAGUAUGUUUGACAAGUCUACUCGAUGGUGACGUGACGUUCCGUUUUACUGAUUUAAGAUGAGUACAGGACAGGAAAUUAAAAAUUAGAUUUCUUGACCUUGUGCAUAGAAUUAAGCAAAGUGGGAGGCCAAAGUUUGAACACUAAGGUUUCACAAAACUAUAUGACUGGUGAUGUGCUAAUCUAACUUUCUAUUUGAAAUGUGUGUCUACCAAACUUCUGUAUGCUAUCUACCGGCGCUCUCUAUUCGUUCAAGUUGACAUUUUGUAUGUAUUUGCCCCUAUUUAAUUUUCGCUGGACAAUUGAGGGAAAAGAUGAUCUAUUAUAGAUGUUUUUGCCGGCAACAAAUGGUUGGGCAAAACGUGGUUAUGGAAAAGAACGUCUUAAUAAUGACUGGGCUAAACAAAUAUCUGCGGUAAAGGAGUUUCUGGGGAUGAGGUUGAAAAACUGUGCUUCCUACAUAAACAAAUGGAUCAUUCAUGUGUUUGGAAUGAACAUUUGCAGCUUGUAGAUUUAAGUAAUUCUUAUCUUCUCUUUAUGCAUUUGUGAGAAUUAACUCACACAAUUUAGUGGACAAAAGGUAGAAAUUCAUUACUAGAAGGAAAAGUUCGUUAAGAUUAAUGUUCGACAGCUGAUCAGUUAGGCUGAAAAGGGCAUCUAUUAAAUUGUUCUAAUGAUUUUGCAGCAUUAUUGCAGGAAAUUUACUGGCUAUAUGCAGAAAUAACACAAUUAUUUGUUAAAUCAGUCCGUCAUGAAUUGACAUUAGACGUGAAAAAACAUUUCUUCUUUCUUGCUUUUUCCAUUGAGACCUCUGCAUCUAAUGUGCUCCAACAUUAGCACAAAAUGGUUGGAUGACAUACUGUCAUUUGCUUCAUUUGGAGGUCAUGAAUUUUUUUCAGUUAGACAGCUUUAGAGGCUAGUGAUAUGUUGGUGUGGGCAUGCCAAAAUGUAUGACUUAAUCUGGAUCUUCUUUAAACUAUAAUUUUAUUAGGGAAGUCCACUUUCUAAUCUAACUUGAACAGACUUGCCCCCAACUUCAUCUCUAGCCUUCAAUUUCUUCCAUAAUGAUAAUUUUAAGCAUUUGUUUCACAUGAUAGCAUUAAUAGUAUGAUGUAGAAUGCAAGGUUUGUCAUGCUAUUCAGCACGGAAGGAAUGUGUCAACCAUUCCAACCUUUUCUGUAAUGUCGCUCUGCAUGUCUGUGCAUUUUCACAUAUCAAUGGGUUUGUGCCAGUGAUGACUGUGUCAAUUGUCGUACAUGCCAGCGAACAUGACGUGUUGAUGCAUGUGCGAUGUCGCUAUUCAAAAGAGGGUGUGCUACAACAAGUAAUCCACUAUAGUAUGCAUCACAUACACAAGGGUAGAAUACUGACGAGUAUGCACUAGUCAGAUGUUUUCACAGAUUUCUUCUUACAUUCAGAGAAAGUUUCUAGUUUUAGAUUUAAUGAACGAUGUCCUGCAGUUGUUUGCUUCAGAGUUUAACCAUAUGAGUUCGUAUAGCAUUUAAUGUUUUUAGCAUGUUGUCAGGGACAAAACCACUCUGUCAUAUUGUCUGACUUGUCUGCUCUUCCUAUUCUACCACCAUGAACACAUGGUUAGUGGAAACAGUUCAUUCUGCUUCAAGAUUAGACUUUUGUUUGGAAUUUCUAUAGAGGAUUGCACGCAUCAUUGUUUUCGCUAUUUAUGAUGCAUGAAUACACCAAGUCUUUAGGUAGCUCCAAACUAAAAUGGAUAUAUAUAUAUAUAUAUAUAUAUAUAUAUAUAUAUAUCCGAAAAUUAACAAAAGAACUGACCAAGAGAAAAAUGGAGCUACAGGGUACUAAAUUAAUACACUUUAAAACACACAAUAAUACUAAAGUGAAGACUUGUGAAAUCACAGGGGUGAUAUUUGAAGUUUUUUUUUCUUCCAAUAAAUCGAAUAAAAUACAUAAAUAACUUAUUCUGCAUAUCAAAUAGGACUUUAAGUAAUGUACAAAUAAGAGUUCAAAGUUUCAAUUUCUAAAAAAAAAUGCCUCCUUAAAUAAUACUAAACUCUACAACAGCAUCUUAAAAGUUUCCUAAUUGAAAGCUUCCAAAGAAGCGGCAUCCAACUGUACUAAAGUUCUAGACUAAGGACGCUUUAAAAUAGAAUUUGAAUAAUCCAAUAUAUUUUAUAACAUUUGAAAUACCUGAUAUAUAUAUAUAUAUAAUUUUUAUAAAAUAAACAAGUACUUUAAGUUUUUGAUAUUUAACGGUCUGACUAAUACUCAACUGUUAGAAAAAAUUAAUAACUAUGCAGAUAUAUAUACGUGAUGUUUUUAAUAAGUGAUAGAAAUGCCAAUGGUAUAAAAAUUAUCUGGGCAGCAGGCGAUGUGCCUAAUGAGAAACAUGCUACGUUAAGAUUCAAAAUCAAAAUUUACCAAAUUAAAACUUUUAAUUUUUUUUUGAGAAAAGGUAGCACGCUAUCCGCUUCAUUAUGGAUAGAUGAAUUAAGCUACAUGAGUGUACAGCCAGGCCCGAAGGGAAAACUUUCAAAUUUGAAAAAAAUUAUUUAAUGAAAUGAAAUGAAGGUGUGGUGCACCGUGCACGCGGGUGCGUGUAAUAAUGCGUCAUCAUCCUUCCUUUUGAAGCUCUUUUAUUGCGAGCGUUUACUCGUCGUCGGCUUAGUUCGCUCAUUUUCCCAUUAAAAACCCCACUCUCCUCCGCGCUUUGCCCAAACGCUUAAACUUAGCCCGGAAUAGGAGAAUGAUGAGAAACUCGGAAUAACUCUCCCUCGCCGGAAUAAGCACACGAACUACCAAUAUCUACAGAUGAGCGACGGCGGCCGCACGCGUCCACCUCGGGUGAUAUCUCACCCCGAGGAAAUCCUUCUGGCGCUCGCCUCCUGACCGCGCCGGUCCCGGCCGACCGCGCCGGGCGCGCAACCGAACCCGGGGCCGGCCGCCAAAGGCGGCCGGCUUGCUCCGUCCGCCGCCCUUGUCGGGAUGGCCCGGCAGGCGUCGGACGACUCGGGCCGACCCGUCCGCGUCGGGCUGGCGCACACCCGACGCGGCGGACCUGUCCCGCGUGGCCGACCACGUACCUGGGAGCGACGCGGCGGCGCGGGACAGGGAACGCGCUGCGGCGGCACGGGAUCAAGUCACGUGCUGAACUGCGUGCGGCGCCGCGUGCCUGCGGACUACUUCGCGGGAGGGGACUUGGUGUACAAAAAGACGCGCGUGGCUCCACGACUCCCGCCGCCGAGGACCUCUCCCCGUCUCCUACGACGCCUUCGACUCCUCGAGACGCCCGCGGCGGCGCGGGGGGGAGGGGAGGGGGCGCGCUCUCGUCCACUGCGUCCGCGGCGCGUCGCGCUCCGCGGCCAUCGUCGUCGCCUACCUCAUGUGGCGCCACGCGAUCCCCUUCGACGCCGCGCUCCGCCGCGUCAAGGCGCGCGCGCCGCCGCCGACCCCAACCUCGGCUUCGCCGCGCAGCUGC